rnacentral:rRNA from 1 species
CCAAUAGCGUAUAUUAAAGUUGUUGCAGUUAAAAAGCUCGUAGUUGAAUUUCGAGAUCAAUUUGUCGGUCGUGCCUCGGUACGUACUGGCAUUAUUGAUUUCUCCCUUCUGACGAACCGCGAUGUCAUUAAUUUGGUGUCGUGGGGAAUCAGGACUGUUACUUUGAAAAAAUUAGAGUGUUUAAAGCAGGCGCACGCUUGAAUACAUUAGCAUGGAAUAAUGAAAUAGGACGUUUGAUUCUAUUUUGUUGGUUUCUAGGAUCGACGUAAUGAUUAAUAGGGAUAGUUGGGGGCAUUAGUAUUCAAUUGUCAGAGGUGAAAUUCUUGGAUUUAUUGAAGACUAACUACUGCGAAAGCAUUUGCCAAGGAUGUUUUCAUUAAUCAAGAACGAAAGUUAGGGGAUCGAAGACGAUCAGAUACCGUCGUAGUCUUAACCAUAAACUAUGCCGACUAGGGAUCGGAUGAUGUUAAUUUUUUAAUGACUCAUUCGGCGCCUUACG